rnacentral:rRNA from 1 species
GUCCUAGCUGUAAACGAUGAGUACUAGGCAGCGGGGGCCCGAUGCUCUCGCUGUCGAAGCUAAUGUGCUAAGUACUCCGCCUGGGGAGUACGGCCGCAAGGCUGAAACUCAAAGGAAUUGACGGGGGCUCACACAAGCGGUGGAGCAUGUGGUUCAAUUCGAAGCAACGCGCAGAACCUUACCAGGGUUUGAAAUGCACGGAUUAGUCUCCUGAAAGGGAGAUGACGCCUUUGGUGGAACGUGCACAGGUGUUGCAUGGCUGUCGU